rnacentral:lncRNA from 1 species
AAUCAAUCGGUUAGGAAUAAGACCAUUCUAUGGAGGAGAAAUAAUGCAUGGCAACAACGGAUUCAAACGCGUGUUCAAUAGCUUAAUAAUGAGCUUAUUGAACACCGUAAAUAAACUGAUGGGUUUGGAUUCAGUCCAUUUACAAGCACCAUUCCUUUUCAGGAGCAGAAUAAUGGUAGUCGCAACAAAAUUUUGUGGGAGAUGACCUCCAUCAAAGAAAUCCAAUACUGCCUUAUAUACAUCAUCCUGAAUAAUAUCCUAGCAAUGCUAAAGAACAGGGCGAAGAAACCAUCUGGGUCCAUGACACUGUUAGCAUCUAUGCUAAAGACCAUCACAUGUACCUCGUGAAUCAAAGGGAGACGGUUUAGUACCAUAUUGUCAUCCUUUGUCAAAAGCCUAGGAAUAAUAUCAGGACGGAUAGGAUCCAUUGGCUGAGAAGGCACAGAUAGGAGAUCAUGGUAGAAUGCAAUGGCUGAAGUCUGAAUAUCUGCAGAAGUAGCUAGGACCUCUCUGGCCUAUGUUCUGAUGGACAUGAUACAUGAUUUGAUCCGACGCUCCUGAACCAUUGUAUGGAAAUAACGAGUGUUAUGAUCUCCCUCACAUACCAAACAUGAAUCAACUUUUGCUUCAAAAAAGGUCCGGUUCAGCUCUAGCUGGGCCUACUGGGCCUAAUAUAAUGAGUCACGAUGCUCUGACAUAGGGUCUCUAUCAUAUAUUGUCUCUGCCUCAUCUAACUAGUCCUCAACAUCCCAUACCCGUUGGAAAUAUCUCCAAACACAUGCCGAUUCCACCAACGCAAUCCCUAUUUUAGCCAAAAGAACUUCUCCCAAAGAGCGAUCAUUCCUGUAUGAUAUGUAGGAAGUGACCACUUCCGGGAGACAAAGGCUGAAAAAUUAAUGAGCACCCUAUCGAUUCUCUUCCUGAACCGACCAUUGGUCCAGGUAUACUGAUUGCCAAGGAAGCCAGUGUCCUCCAAACCACAGUCUAACAUCAUAUUAGAGAAAGUAGUAGUGCAUCAAUUGUGAGUAUUUUGACCAAUGCGCUCUCAAUCUUGUGUAAUAACGUUAAAGUCUUCCUCAACUAGCCAAGUGUCAUCUAUACCGAGGGAGCUAUGGUGAAGUCCUGCCUACAAAUCCCUCAUAAUAACAGCCUUGUAGGAGGCGUAGACAAGAAUCAAGUAGAUGGGUCAUGUUAGUCUAGGAUCCUCAACUCUAAAAUAAAGAAACUAAGGAUGAUCAAUAAUAGUAGUAAUACUAGUGCCCACAUUAUAGAAGAGGCAGAUCUAGUUUAACUCAUUAUGAACUCUCGUGUCAAAUAUCAUAUAUCGUCGAAUAUAUGGAAAACUUUGGUGAAGAACAAAAGGCUCCAGUAUAACCAGAAGAUAAACCUGAAUGAGUUUCUUUAUACGCCUACGAGUAUCUAGACUAGCUACACCUCUUACAUUCCAUAUGAUGGAAUUAAUAAAGAUGGGAAAUGUGAGGAGGUAUCAUGUGACUAACUCCUAGUGAUCCUCUUGCUCAAAUGUGGAGUGUCAGUAGCCCGUGGUAUUUCUUCCAUGUAACCUGGACAAAACCAUGCCAACUAAAUCCUUAGCAGAAGACCUACGAAACAUACCCUGCUGAUGGACUUCAAUCCGUGAUGUAGUAUCUGUAUCUGAUUGCUCAGAAUUUAGAGAAGGAAUGGAAGCCUCUAUUGUCUGCUAACAGACGACUGGAGCACUGGAGACAGGAAAACCAAUGCAGCCAGGUGUCGAGCCAGGAAGAUGUCUGACCUCUGUAUCAAAAGCCUUUGAGUCUUGUGCUCGCUUAGUCAUGUCAUGAGCCAAAAGGUCGAUGUGAGCACUAGAAACAUGAAUAGCAAACUAUGAUGGAGGCAAAACUGAUGUAGUGAUACUCGAAGGAGCAACAUUCUCUGGGGCAACUGGCUGAAUCACUGUAGGAGCAACUGAUUGAACCAUUGGAGAAGUAACUGAUGUAGUAGCCAACUGAGUGGAUAGGGUAAUUGAGUGUAGGUCUACAUAAUUCUAAACAUGACCCUGAGUAUUACUGGUGUGGUGAGCAACUGGGUUGGUAUCUGAAGGAGCAGUACUAAUUGUGGGAGGCACCUGCAGGAUAACUGCCUGUCUUUGAGUAUGUAUAACACUAGAAAUCGGAGGGAUAUCAUUCACUAUAGGUGGAAUAAUUUGAGGGACACGGGCACUUGAAGUGCUAGUCUGCCAUCUCUUAUGCUCUUUCCGAACUGGGGUCCACCUCUGACGUGGCUCAACCUCAACCACCUUUCCCUUAACCUUAUCCUUAGCUAGAAUAGCGGGCUGAGGGAUAGGCUAAACAACAAGAGGUGGUACAGGUCUUGUACUAAGCUUAUACUGAUCUUCUAUGUGCCCAAAAUGUCUGCAUCUAUGACAAAAGUCCGGCUUCUUGUCAUAUAAAAAUCAUGCCAAUAUCCUCUCAAUCCAAACUUUGUCAGGGAGAUCAUAUUCAAAAUUUACCUCUGCACAUACCCUAGCCUCACUAGGACGGUGAAGAUCAGUUGUUGCCCCAUCAAUACGCAGUGGAAAACCAAUAGCUUUGUCAAUAGCAUACAGACUGCAGUUAGCCCGGAAAUGAAUAGGCAAAAGAGAAAAAGAUACCCAGACUGGAGUAAUCGAGGUCUCGUAUUGUAGACUAAAACUCAAAAUCCAUUUAAAGACUCUUACAAGAGAACCAUCAAUAUACCAUAAAGCUUGGAGGAAUAACCGUGCAUAGUCAUCCCCAUGCUCCAAAUGGAUCAAAAUGUGUGUGGCAUCAAUCAAACCAAUAGUAUAAUCACCACAAAAUCCAAAACAGGAAAAUUUAUUAUGUACCUUAAGCAUAGGUGGCCUCCGGUGCACACAUUUACCGACAAGCGUAA